GGAUUAUUAUUUGUGUUAUUUGAUUUAAGGCUUUUAAAAGCCAGAAUUGUAAUUAAUUCCUCUUAGGCGCCCCCUCAUCCUUAAUCUCUUUCUAGUUACGCUCUAUUCCUUUUUUCCUCAUUUUCUUUACAUGGUUUAAUUUCCUGCAUUAGGUUUUCACCUCACAUGCUUAAACAACUAAAAUCAAUUUAGUAUUUUGUAUGUGGUAGGCUCCAAUGCUCAAUUUGAAGCAAGUUAAAUUUAUUAGUAUAAUCCUGCUAUCCCUUAUGCUUAUGUUGAGCUCAAAUACUAAAUAAAAUGACUUUUAGAUUUAUGAAAUAAAAUUAGACAUUAAUUUGGUUAGUAUCACAUGUUAAGAAAAACUUAAGGUAUUAAAGUAUCUCCC
rnacentral:lncRNA from 1 species